AUGGGAAAUGAUAAAAUGUGUGUUAUUCACCUCAGCCACCAGAACAGCUCCAGAAAUGUUAUUCUGUUCUCUCAGGAUGGAUCUGUUAUAGCAAUUAUAACAUGCAUUCCAGGAACUCUAUGCAUUUAGCAAACAUUCACUAAUUCUAUCUAUCCAUCUCUCUCUCCCUCCCACAGGAACUGGUUUCUUGCAGGCAGACCCUCACAUCUGCACAAAGUCCCACUGAAGUCAGUGGAGCUUGGUCCAGCCACACGAUUGCAGGAGUGGGGCGAUACAUAUCUGACGGCAUAAAUAAGCAUUAUAACUCCCUGGUGAGGGAAAUUCCACUGAGAGCUAACAUCUCAUUUCCAAGGUGUCCCCUGGGAUAAAUCAGAAGGGAUAGGACUGAAAGUGAAGGCAUAGAAUACGAAAGAAAAAGAAGCAAUGUGUAAGGGGAAGAAGAUUUGAGAAUCAGGUCACUGAAGGUGUAAGCAGAAGAGACCCUGUUGGAUCAUCAUCAACUACCUUUCCCUGCCAAUGCAAGAGACAGUCCCCUGAUCGAGGAUGCAGCAGGCACUACACUUGUGCCACAUCUGGAUAGCCAUAGGUACCAAGAAUCUCAUCUACUUACACAUAUUCGUGAUUUUAUCCCACUCUUGGAUUUCUGGAACCUCGUUCUCCACACUGAUCUAUAAGAAUUUUGAAAAACCCCGGUGCUGUGAACGUAUAAAGUAUGUUUAUUGCCACUACAAGAAUUCUAAAGGAAUUAAGAUGGAAAAUUCUCUGAAUACCUCUUCAGAACAGCGUGUUUCAAAUGGAACCAGUAACAGGAACCGGUUUUUGAGCAACCCUCAUUAGCACAUUGGACAGUUUUCCCCCAGAAUUCCAAGGUGCGUGCAGCUCUAUUCCUUAUUGGACAACCACAACCCUUGUAGGGGUUGGAAGGGGCUGUUCUACCACAGCAGCCCUUCAGAGGAAUUCUGGAUGACACGCAGAAUUUCUCCAGUAGGUCUAGAGCAGCCUGUGGUGGAGUGGCAGCUCCACCAUCCUUCACAGUGGUGCAGUUCUGUAGGCUGGUGUGAAAUGGGGGGCCAUGGCCCUGCCUUUACUCGAUCCCCUUUGAAAAGGCUAGCACUGCUGGCUGCAGUAGCCUGGAUCACUUAAUCUACUCCCUCUCCUGGUUGUAGAUGGCCCUUGUGUUGGGCACAAAUGGGUAAGGAAGAUUCCUCACGCUCUUCCUCCAUCUUACAUAGCUACACAGAGUCAGCUGGAAUGAGGCCUAAAAUGUGUGUAAUACUCCUAUCCCCUCCAGCCAUUACUAGGAAGAUGUGAGUCUAUUUAUACUGAAAAGCUUACGGACAAAAGUAUCUACUACUAAACCUUCCAUUGAAAUUCUCUCCAGGGGAGCUUGUCAAAGCUAUACAGGUUCUAUAAUGUUUGGGCAGCUGUCUGCUUUCAAUUGUAUUUUUUUCCAUUUUUCCUCCAUGUGAUAUAUAAUAUAGCUUCAGGAGCAAUUCUGGUUAUAAAAUUAUGGAAAUGUGGCCUAGCUGGCUUUUAUUUGAAAAGUUAUUUCAUUGCAUCUCACUAAAGAAUU
ensembl:lncRNA